GUGCCAGCCGCCGCGGUAAUACGGAGGAUCCAAGCGUUAUCCGGAUUUAUUGGGUUUAAAGGGAGCGUAGGUUGACAUAUAAGUCAGCUGUGAAAGUUUACGGCUCAACCGUGAAAUUGCAGUUGAUACUGUAUGUCUUGAGUGUACAAGAGGUGGGCGGAAUUCGUGGUGUAGCGGUGAAAUGCUUAGAUAUCACGAAGAACUCCAAUUGCGAAGGCAGCUCACUGGGGUACAACUGACACUGAGGCUCGAAAGUGUGGGUAUCAAACAGGAUUAGAUACCCUGGUAGUCCACACAGUAAACGAUGAAUACUCGCUGUUUGCGAUAUACAGUAAGCGGCCAAGCGAAAGCAUUAAGUAUUCCACCUGGGGAGUACGCCGGCAACGGUGAAACUCAAAUGAAUUGACGG
rnacentral:rRNA from 1 species